rnacentral:tRNA from 2 species
GCAGUCAUGGCGGAGUGGUUAAGCCGAUGGACCAGAAAUUCAUUGGGGUCUUCCCGCACGGGAUCGAAUCCUGUCGAUUGCG